ensembl:snRNA U2 U2 spliceosomal RNA
AUGGCUUCUUGGCCUUUUGGCUAACGUCAAGGGUAGUGUCUGUUCUUAUAAGUUUAAUAUCUGAAAAGCCUUCAAUCUAAGGACAAUAUACUACCUGAAUUUUUUGAACAAGGAGAUAGAAUUGGAGUUUAUUACUCUGUCUGCCCUAUACAUUGACCUGGUAUUGCAAUUCUUUUGGGAAUGGUGCACUUUCA